GGCAGCAUGGCAUAAUGGUUUGAGCACUAGAUUAUGACUCUGGAGACCAGGGUUCAUUUCCCUGCCUGGUCA